UCGUAAACUGCUUUUAUAUGUGACGAAUAUGACGGUAGCAUAUGAAUAAGGAUCGGCUAACUCCGUGCCAGCAGCCGCGGUCAUACGGAGGAUCCAAGCGUUAUCCGGAAUUACUGGGCGUAAAGAGUUGCGUAGGUGGCAUAGUAAGCGGGUAGUGAAAGCGUGUGGCUCAACCAUACUCACAUUAUCUGAACUGCUAAGCUAGAGGACGAGAGAGGUUAUUGGAAUUCCCAGUGUAGGAGUGAAAUCCGUAGAUAUUGGGAGGAACACCGAUGGCGUAGGCAGAUAACUGGCUCGUUCCUGACACUAAGGCACGAAAGCGUGGGUAGCAAACGGGAUUAGAUACCCCGGUAGUCCACGCCGUAAACGAUGGAUGCUAGCUGUAUUCGGUAUCGACCCCGGAUGUAGCGAAGCUAACGCGUUAAGCAUCCCGCCUGUGGAGUACGGUCGCAAGACUAAAACAUAAAGGAAUUGACGGGGACCCGCACAAGCGGUGGAGCGUGUUGUUUAAUUCGAUGGUAAGCGAAGAACCUUACCCAGGCUUGACAUCCUGCGAAUUUCUCCGAAAGGAGAGAGUGCUUUAUUGAACGCAGUGACAGGUGAUGCAUGGCCGUCGUCAG
rnacentral:rRNA from 1 species